rnacentral:rRNA from 1 species
UACAGAGGUCCCAAGCGUUGUUCGGAUUCAUUGGGCGUAAAGGGUGUGUAGGUGGCGCCGUAAGUCGGGUGUGAAAUCUCGGGGCUUAACUCCGAAACUGCAUUCGAUACUGCGGUGCUUGAGGACUGGAGAGGAGACUGGAAUUUACGGUGUAGCGGUGAAAUGCGUAGAUAUCGUAAGGAAGACCAGUGGCGAAGGCGGGUCUCUGGACAGUUCCUGACGCUGAGGCACGAAGGCCAGGGGAGCAAACGGGG